rnacentral:rRNA from 1 species
CAGCCCUACGGGACGCAGCAGUGAGGAAUAUUGGUCAAUGGCCGAGAGGCUGAACCAGCCAAGUCGCGUGAGGGAUGACGGCCCUACGGGUUGUAAACCUCUUUUGCCGGGGAGCAAAGAGCGGAACGCGUCCCGCCUCGAGAGUACCCGGAGAAAAAGCAUCGGCUAACUCCGUGCCAGCAGCCGCGGUAAUACGGAGGAUGCGAGCGUUAUCCGGAUUUAUUGGGUUUAAAGGGUGCGCAAGCGGAAGCGCAAGGCCGCGGCAAAAUUGAGA